rnacentral:rRNA from 1 species
CUGCCCAGCAGAAGGACCGGCGAAC